rnacentral:rRNA from 1 species
UGAGGAAUAUUGGUCAAUGGGCGGAAGCCUGAACCAGCCAAGUAGCGUGAGGGAAGACUACCCUAUGGGUUGUAAACCUCUUUUAUAAGGGAAUAAAAUACGGGACGUGUCCUGUUUUGCAUGUACCUUAUGAAUAAGGACCGGCUAAUUCCGUGCCAGCAGCCGCGGUAAUACGGAAGGUCCGGGCGUUAUCCGGAUUUAUUGGGUUUAAAGGGAGCGCAGGCGGUCUUAUAAGCGUGACGUGAAAUGCAGCGGCUCAACCGUAUGAUGUGCGUCGCGAACUGGCAGACUUGAGUGCGCAGGAAGUAGGCGGAAUUCGUCGUGUAGCGGUGAAAUGCUUAGAUAUGACGAAGAACUCCGAUUGCGAAGGCAGCCUGCUGUAGCGUAACUGACGCUGAAGCUCGAAAGCGUGGGUAUCGAACAGGAUUAGAUACCCUGGUAGU